CUGAUUCUGAUUAUAAAAGCUCGUUGUUGGGACCCAGAGCCCUCUCAUGCCCCAUUGUUAUGGAACCCAGAGAUAUUGGGAAAUAACUGUGAGAUUUCACUGCCCAGCAUAGCAAUUGUUGCAUUUGUGAGGUGGGGAAAGGACUACUAAUGGAUCCAUGCACUCCUCAGGCGUCAUACUGAGUGUCAGAGAGUGUCUGUGACUGUUGGGAUGGGGAGAGGAAGAAAGGAAGGGAAUUGGUCCUGAUGGGAAAGAAGAAAAAGAAGGGAACCUGACGUCUCUCGUUUCUUCCACUUGCAGGAUGGAGAGCUAUGCUAGGUCAAUCCAUUAAAAGAACUUACUUAAGUGCCUACUAUAUGAUCUUAUAUGAAGGAGAAAGAGAGAAGAAGGAGGGAUGGAGAAAUGGAGAGGAAACAAGUCCUUGCCCUCAUGAAGCUUCCUUUUCCUGGCCUAUGCUGUUAUUAGAACCAGAUGCUGAACUAUCAACAAUAUUUCAACCUGACUGCGUUGCCUGCCAGCUGCCUGACUAUAAUUACUUCAAUCUCAGCUUGUUAUCUAAUUAUCACCUUUGUAAAGGGAAAAGUACUCUCUAA
rnacentral:lncRNA from 1 species